UCCGUAGGUGAACCUGCGGAAGGAUCAUUAUUGAAAUUAUCGGUGAGGGUUGCUGCUGGCCUUUCGAGGCAUGUGCACGCCCGAGCCUUUAAAUCCACAUACACCUGUGAAGGGCCCGUAACAAAGGCCCCUACGUCUUUAUCAUCAACCCAUUGCAUGUCUCAUAGAAUGUCAUUCAAUAUCUUCGCCUUAACAAAGCGUCGGUAAACUUAUACAACUUUCAACAACGGAUCUCUUGGCUCUCGCAUCGAUGAAGAACGCAGCGAAAUGCGAUAAGUAAUGUGAAUUGCAGAUUUUCAGUGAAUCAUUGAAUCUUUGAACGCACCUUGCGCCCCUUGGUAUUCCGAGGGGCAUGCCUGUUUGAGUGUCAUUAAAUUCUCAACUUCAUUUGAUUUGUUUCAAACAUGGAGCUUGGACUUGGAGUGUGCUGGCGUUAACCGUCGGCUCCUCUCAAAUGCAUCGGCGGAAUUGAACCUUUGACCUCCGGAUGUCAGUGUGAUAAUUAAACGUUGCGCUGUCGACCGGGGGGUUGGAGUCCGCUUACAAUCGUCCUCGGACAACUUAUCGAAUUUGACCUCAAAUCAGGUAGGACUACCCGCUGAACUUAAGCAUAUCAAUAAGCGGAGGA
rnacentral:rRNA from 1 species